UCUGCGCGGAACCAGGGGCCUCCAGGGCCGUGUCCCCGCGGAGGGUCAUCCCGCAGUCUUGGCUUGUGAUGGUCGGAACUCUUGCAAGAUCCAGCUGGAGGUCAGUCACUGAGUGUUGAUCAGAGCCAGAGAAGAACAACUAUUAGCAAAUAUCCUUGAGGCAGUGUGGCCAUUAUGAACAAUGCUAAGAAGUUCACUUGGACUUCCUGAUAUAUGCCUUCUCAUGGAUCGAUAUCCAGAGGUGGAGUUGCUAGUUUGAAGAUUCUCAUCAACACUGGCUGUUGACUGUCUCUUUGACUAUAGCCAUUCUGCAACCAAAUAUAUGAAGUGAUUUCCCACUGAUAAAAUUAAAAAAUUGGAUGAGUCCUAAA